ACGUAGGUGGCAAGCGUUGUCCGGAUUUAUUGGGCGUAAAGCGAGCGCAGGCGGUUCCUUAAGUCUGAUGUGAAAGCCCACGGCUCAACCGUGGAAGGUCAUUGGAAACUGGGGAACUUGAGUGCAGAAGAGGAGAGUGGAAUUCCAUGUGUAGCGGUGAAAUGCGUAGAUAUAUGGAGGAACACCAGUGGCGAAGGCGACUCUCUGGUCUGUAACUGACGCUGAGGCUCGAAAGCGUGGGGAGCAAACAGGAUUAGAUACCCUGGUAGUCCACGCCGUAAACGAUGAGUGCUAAGUGUUGGAGGGUUUCCACCCUUCAGUGCGGCAGCUAACGCAUUAAGCACUCCGCCUGGGGAGUACGGCCGCAAGGCUG
rnacentral:rRNA from 1 species